UACGUAGGUGGCAAGCGUUGUCCGGAUUUACUGGGUGUAAAGGGCGUGCAGCCGGGCUGACAAGUCAGAUGUGAAAUUCCAGGGCUUAACCGUGGAACUGCAUUUGAAACUAUUGGUCUUGAGUACCGGAGAGGUUAUCGGAAUUCCUUGUGUAGCGGUGAAAUGCGUAGAUAUAAGGAAGAACACCAGUGGCGAAGGCGGAUGACUGGACGGCAACUGACGGUGAGGCGCGAAAGCGUGGGGAGCAA
rnacentral:rRNA from 1 species